rnacentral:rRNA from 1 species
GACGAACGCUGGCGGCGUGCUUAACACAUGCAAGUCGAACGGAAAGGCCCUGCUUUUGUGGGGUGCUCGAGUGGCGAACGGGUGAGUAACAAGUGAGUAACCUGCCCUUGACUUUGGGAUAACUUCAGGAAACUGGGGCUAAUAACGGAUAGGAGCUCCUGCUGCAUGGUGGGGGUUGGAAAGUUUCGGCGGUUGGGGAUGGACUCGCGGCUUAUCAGCUUGUUGGUGGGGUAGUGGCUUACCAAGGCUUUGACGGGUAGCCGGCCUGAGAGGGUGACCGGCCACAAUAGGACUGAGAUACGGCCCAGACUCCUACAGGAGGCAGCAGUGGGGAAUAUUGCACAAUGGGCGGAAGCCUGAUGCAGCAACGCCGCGUGCGGGAUGACGGCCUUCGGGGUGUAAACCGCUUUCGCCUGUGACGAAGCGUGAGCGACGGUAAUAGGUAAAGAAGCACCGGCUAACUACGUG